AGAGUUUGAUCGUGGCUCAGAAUCAACGCUGGCGGCGUGCCCAAUACAUGCAAGUCGAACGCGAAAGUGGAGCAAUCCAUGAGUAGAGUGGCAAACGGGUGAGUAACGCGUGGGUGACCUGCCUUCGAGUGGGGGAUAACGUUCCGAAAGGGACGCUAAUACCGCAUGACAUCCUGCCUUUGAACAGGCGGAGAUCAAAGCUGCGGAUCGCAAGACGUAGCGCUUGAAGAGGGGCCCGCGUCCGAUUAGCUAGUUGGUGAGGUAACGGCUCACCAAGGCAUCGAUCGGUAGCCGGCCUGAGAGGGCGGACGGCCACACUGGGACUGAGACACGGCCCAGACUCCUACGGGAGGCAGCAGUAGGGAAUUGUUCGCAAUGGGCGCAAGCCUGACGACGCAACGCCGCGUGGAGGAUGAAGAUCUUCGGGUCGUAAACUCCUUUCGAUCGAGACGAACGGCCUCCGGGUGAACAAUCCGGAGGAGUGACGGUACCGAGAGAAGAAGCCCCGGCUAAC
rnacentral:rRNA from 1 species